AUUGAACGCUGGCGGCAGGCCUAACACAUGCAAGUCGAGCGGAUGAAGGUAGCUUGCUCCUGGAUUCAGCGGCGGACGGGUGAGUAAUGCCUAGGAAUCUGCCUGGUAGUGGGGGAUAACGUCCGGAAACGGGCGCUAAUACCGCAUACGUCCUGAGGGAGAAAGUGGGGGAUCUUCGGACCUCACGCUAUCAGAUGAGCCUAGGUCGGAUUAGCUAGUUGGUGGGGUAAAGGCCUACCAAGGCGACGAUCCGUAACUGGUCUGAGAGGAUGAUCAGUCACACGGGAACUGAGACACGGUCCAGACUCCUACGGGAGGCAGCAGUGGGGAAUAUUGGACAAUGGGCGAAAGCCUGAUCCAGCCAUGCCGCGUGUGUGAAGAAGGUAUUCGGAUUGUAAAGCACUUUAAGUUGGGAGGAAGGGCAGUAAGUUAAUACCUUGCUGUUUUGACGUUACCAACAGAAUAAGCACCGGCUAACUUCGUG
rnacentral:rRNA from 1 species